rnacentral:rRNA from 1 species
UGGGGAAUUUUGGACAAUGGACGCAAGUCUGAUCCAGCCAUGCCGCGUGCGGGAAGAAGGCCUUCGGGUUGUAAACCGCUUUUGUCAGGGAAGAAACGAGUUUCUCUAAUACAGAGACUUAAUGACGGUACCUGAAGAAUAAGCACCGGCUAACUACGUGCCAGCAGCCGCGGUAAUACGUAGGGUGCGAGCGUUAAUCGGAAUUACUGGGCGUAAAGCGUGCGCAGGCGGUGAUGUAAGACAGAUGUGAAAUCCCCGGGCUCAACCUGGGAACUGCCUUUGUGACUGCAUAGCUAGAGUACGGUAGAGGGGGAUGGAAUUCCGCGUGUAGCAGUGAAAUGCGUAGAUAGGCGGAGGAACACCGAUGGCGAAGGCAAUCCCCUGGACCUGUACUGACGCUCAUGCACGAAAGCGUGGGGAGCAAACA